rnacentral:rRNA from 1 species
GUACGGGGGGGGCAAGCGUUGUUCGGAAUUACUGGGCGUAAAGGGCUCGUAGGCGGCCAACUAAGUCAGACGUGAAAUCCCGUCGGCUUAACCGGGGAACUGCAUCUGAUACUGGAUGGCUUGAGUUCGGGAGAGGGAUGUGGAAUUCCAGGUGUAGCGGUGAAAUGGACGGUAGAUAUCUGGAGGAACACCGGUGGCGAAGGCGGCAUCCUGGACCCGACACUGACGCUGAUGGAGCGAAAGCC